rnacentral:rRNA from 1 species
GGUUAAGCGACUAAGCGUACACGGUGGAUGCCCUGGCAGUCAGAGGCGAUGAAGGGCGUGCUAAUCUGCGAUAAGCGCCGGUAAGGUGAUAUGAACCGUUAUAACCGGCGAUACCCGAAUGGGGAAACCCAGUGUGAUUCGUCACACUAUCAUUAACUGAAUCCAUAGGUUAAUGAGGCGAACCGGGGGAACUGAAACAUCUAAGUACCCCGAGGAAAAGAAAUCAACCGAGAUUCCCCCAGUAGCGGCGAGCGAACGGGGAGGAGCCCAGAGCCUGAAUCAGCAUGUGUGUUAGUGGAAGCGUCUGGAAAGGCGCGCGAUACAGGGUGACAGCCCCGUACACAAAAGCGCAUGUGUUGUGAGCUCGAUGAGUAGGGCGGGACACGUGGUAUCCUGUCUGAAUAUGGGGGGACCAUCCUCCAAGGCUAAAUACUCCUGACUGACCGAUAGUGAACCAGUACCGUGAGGGAAAGGCGAAAAGAACCCCGGCGAGGGGAGUGAAAAAGAACCUGAAACCGUGUACGUACAAGCAGUGGGAGCACCCUUUGGGGUGUGACUGCGUACCUUUUGUAUAAUGGGUCAGCGACUUAUAUUCUGUAGCAAGGUUAACCGAAUAGGGGAGCCGGAGGGAAACCGAGUCUUAAUUGGGCGUUAAGUUGCAGGGUAUAGACCCGAAACCCGGUGAUCUAGCCAUGGGCAGGUUGAAGGUUGGGUAACACUAACUGGAGGACCGAACCGACUAAUGUUGAAAAAUUAGCGGAUGACCUGUGGCUGGGGGUGAAAGGCCAAUCAAACCGGGAGAUAGCUGGUUCUCCCCGAAAGCUAUUUAGGUAGCGCCUCGUGAAUUCAUCUCCGGGGGUAGAGCACUGUUUCGGCUAGGGGGCCAUCCCGGCUUACCAACCCGAUGCAAACUGCGAAUACCGGAGAAUGUUAUCACGGGAGACACACGGCGGGUGCUAACGUCCGUCGUGAAGAGGGAAACAACCCAGACCGCCAGCUAAGGUCCCAAAGUCAUAGUUAAGUGGGAAACGAUGUGGGAA